AGAGGUAAGGGUGAUCUGGCUGUGACAUCUGUCACCCCAUUGAUCGCCAGGGUUGAUUCAGCUGAUCUGGCUGGCUAGGUGGGUGUCCCCUUCCUCCCUUAUCACUCCAUGUGUGUCCCGCAAAGCUGUGCACUCAGUGGAAGAGGACAAUCUUGCCCAACGGAGGAAGACCAUUCUUCAGUCAAGGAUAUACAAGCAGCUGGAUUCCUCUGCUAGAAACUCCAAAUAAGCUCUCAAGAAAUGAGGGAUCUCAGGCUCCACCACAGACCUUAUUAAAUAGGAAUCUGCACUGUAACAAGAGCCCUUGAAGAUUCCAAUGAACGUGAAAGUUUGAAAAGCACUGUGCUGACAUCAUCUU
rnacentral:snRNA from 1 species